rnacentral:rRNA from 5 species
UGGGGAAUAUUGGACAAUGGGCGAAAGCCUGAUCCAGCCAUGCCGCGUGUGUGAAGAAGGCCUUUUGGUUGUAAAGCACUUUAAGCGAGGAGGAGGCUACUUGGAUUAAUACUCUAGGAUAGUGGACGUUACUCGCAGAAUAAGCACCGGCUAACUCUGUGCCAGCAGCCGCGGUAAUACAGAGGGUGCGAGCGUUAAUCGGAUUUACUGGGCGUAAAGCGUGCGUAGGCGGCUUCUUAAGUCGGAUGUGAAAUCCCUGAGCUUAACUUAGGAAUUGCAUUCGAUACUGGGAAGCUAGAGUAUGGGAGAGGAUGGUAGAAUUCCAGGUGUAGCGGUGAAAUGCGUAGAGAUCUGGAGGAAUACCGAUGGCGAAGGCAGCCAUCUGGCCUAAUACUGACGCUGAGGUACGAAAGCAUGGGGAGCAAACAGG